rnacentral:rRNA from 1 species
AUGCAAUUGGUUUGAUCUGGAAACAUGGUGAUCAACAUCAAUGGCAAAGUGGGACCCUUCUUCCAGGCCUACAGGGGGUAAAGCAAGGAUCCCGUCUCCCCCUUGCUUUUCAAUCUGGCAAUUGAUGCACUUGCAGGCAUCCUAGAUAAGGCCAAGCUGGCCGGCCACCUUAAGGGUGUGGUUAGUCACCUCAUUCCCGAUGGGGGGUUUACCCACGUGCAGUAUGCAGAUGACUCCAUGAUUAUGGUAGAAGGCUCGAAGUCGGACAUUAUUAAUCUUAAGUCCUUUUUCUCUACUUUGAGGAAAUGUCUGGACUUAAGAUUAACUUUGAUAAGAGCGAGGUUGUGGUCCUUGGCUACUCGGAGGCUGAGCAGCACAGGUUCACGGGUAACCUCAAUUGUAGGUUGGCUUCCUUCCCCAUAUCUUACUUGGGGAUGCCCCUGGUUGAGUCCAGGAUUUUGGUGAGUGGGUAUGAUCCGCUUGUGGGACGAGUAG